ACAACCCGUCCGUCAUCCCGGCGGAGGCCGGGACCUUCGGCGGGCGCACAGGAUCCCGGCCUCCGCCGGGAUGACCUGAGGGGGUGA
rnacentral:pre_miRNA from 1 species